rnacentral:lncRNA from 1 species
GUUUGUGAGCAGCCCCCGGUCCCCUGCCGCUCCGUGAGAAAUCAAACUUCAGGCACUGACGAAGCAUGAAGCCAGCAUCUUAGGAAAAGGUAGUGACAUAAUUACAAGGGCAACCGGAUUACAAUCACAGCCAGCAUGAACAUGGGGCGGCGCACAGUCCUGAAGUGGAAAGCCGGGCUGUGUUGACCUCGCUGUGCAUGCUGGGAGUUGUAGUCUCUUCACUGCUCCCGCCCGUUGUUUCAGGCACUUCGGGACUACAAUCCCAGCAUGACCCGGGCUCGGGGACGGGGCGCAGUUCUCGUGGGAGGAGCGGGGCGGUGAGAGCCUGGCUAGGCAGGCUGGAAACAGUAGCUCUUAACGGUCCCCCGCCCGUUGGUGGCAAGGCGGCUGGACUGGAAUCCCAGCAGGCGACAUGCGAGGAGGCGGGCAGCCCAGGAGGAGGGUUGGACACGGCAAUGUGGACCUCGCCGCUUCCACAACGAUGCUGGCUACUGAUCGCGUGCACUUCCUUGCCAAGGAAAAUUCGUGCUGUGCACUAA